UACAGAGGGUGCGAGCGUUAAUCGGAAUUACUGGGCGUAAAGCGCACGUAGGUAGCGACGUAAGUCGGGUGUGAAAGCCCCGGGCUCAACCUGGGAAUUGCAUUCGAGACUGCAUUGCUGGAGUACGGAAGAGGAAGGCGGAAUUCCCGGUGUAGCGGUGAAAUGCGUAGAUAUCGGGAGGAACAUCAGUGGCGAAGGCGGCCUUCUGGUCCAGUACUGACACUCAAGUGCGAAAGCGUGGGGAGCAAACAGG
rnacentral:rRNA from 1 species